GACGAACGCUGGCGGCGUGCUUAACACAUGCAAGUCGAACGGAAAGGCCCUGCUUGCAGGGUACUCGAGUGGCGAACGGGUGAGUAACACGUGGGUGAUCUGCCCUGCACUUCGGGAUAAGCCUGGGAAACUGGGUCUAAUACCGGAUAGGAGCCAUUUUUAGUGUGAUGGUUGGAAAGUUUUUUCGGUGUAGGAUGAGCUCGCGGCCUAUCAGCUUGUUGGUGGGGUAAUGGCCUACCAAGGCGGCGACGGGUAGCCGGCCUGAGAGGGUGGACGGCCACAUUGGGACUGAGAUACGGCCCAGACUCCGACGGGAGGAAGCAGUGGGGAAUAUUGCACAAUGGGCGCAAGCCUGAUGCAGCGACGCCGCGUGGGGGAUGACGGCCUUCGGGUUGGAAAAUCCUUUCGCUAGGGACGAAGCUUUUUGUGACGGUACCUAGAGAAGAAGCACCGGCUAACUACGUG
rnacentral:rRNA from 1 species